rnacentral:rRNA from 1 species
GUCAGAGGUGAAAUUCCUGGAUUUAUGAAAGACUAACUACUGCGAAAGCAUUUGUCAAGGACGUUUUCAUUAAUCAAGAACGAAAGUUAGGGGAUCGAAGAUGAUCAGAUACCGUCGUAGUCUUAACCAUAAACUAUGCCGACUAGGGAUCGGGCGGUGCCUUUUAUUGGCCCACUCGGCACCUUACAGAGAAAUCAAAGUUUUUGGGUUCUGGGGGGAGUAUGGUCGCAAGGCUGAAACUUAAAGGAAUUGACGGAAGGGCACCACCAGGAGUGGAGCCUGCGGCUUAAUUUGACUCAACACGGGGAAACUCACCAGGUCCAGACACAAUAAGGAUUGACAGAUUGAGAGCUCUUUCUUGAUUUUGUGGGUGGUGGUGCAUGGCCGUUCUUAGUUGGUGGAGUGAUUUGUCUGCUUAAUUGCGAUAACGAACGAGACCUUAGCCCUUAAAUAGAGUUGCUGGCAUAUGCUGGUAAAUCUUCUUAUGGGGACUAUCGAUUUCAAGUCGAUGGAAGUUUGAGGCAAUAACAGGUCUGUGAUGCCCUUAG